UCCGGUUGAUCCUGCCGGAGGCCAUUGCUAUUGGGAUUCGAUUUAGCCAUGCUAGUCGCACGAGUUCAGACUCGUGGCGAAUAGCUCAGUAACACGUGGCCAAACUACCCUUCGGAACACAAUACCCUCGGGAAACUGAGGCUAAUAGUGUAUACCGCAUCACACCUGGAAUGAGUGAUGCGCCAAACGCUCCGGCGCCGAAGGAUGUGGCUGCGGCCGAUUGGGUAGACGGUGGGGUAACGGCCCACCGUGCCAAUAAUCGGUACGGGUCAUGAGAGUGAGAACCCGGAGACGGAAUCUGAGACAAGAUUCCGGGCCCUACGGGGCGCAGCAGGCGCGAAACCUUUACACUGCACGACAGUGCGAUAAGGGAAUCCCAAGUGCGUAGGCAUAGAGCCUACGCUUUUGUCCACCGUAGGGAGGUGGACGAAUAAGGGCUGGGCAAGACCGGUGCCAGCCGCCGCGGUAAUACCGGCAGCCCGAGUGAUGGCCGAUCUUAUUGGGCCUAAAGCGUCCGUAGCUGGCCGCACGAGUCUAUCGGAAAAUCCACCCGCUCAACGGGUGGGCGUCCGGUAGAAACUGUGUGGCUUGGGACCGGAAGGCGCGACGGGUACGUCCGGGGUAGGAGUGAAAUCCUGUAAUCCUGGACGGACCGCCGAUGGCGAAAGCACGUCGCGAAGACGGAUCCGACAGUGAGGGACGAAAGCUAGGGUCUCGAACCGGAUUAGAUACCCGGGUAGUCCUAGCCGUAAACAAUGCCUGUUAGGUGUGGCUCCCACUACGAGUGGGUGCUGUGCCGUAGGGAAGCCGCUAAACAGGCCGCCUGGGAAGUACGUCCGCAAGGAUGAAACUUAAAGGAAUUGGCGGGGGAGCACUACAACCGGAGGAGCCUGCGGUUUAAUUGGAUUCAACGCCGG
rnacentral:rRNA from 1 species